rnacentral:rRNA from 1 species
GAUGAACGCUGGCGGCGUGCCUAAUACAUGCAAGUCGAGCGAACGGACGAGAAGCUUGCUUCUCUGAUGUUAGCGGCGGACGGGUGAGUAACACGUGGAUAACCUACCUAUAAGACUGGGAUAACUUCGGGAAACCGGAGCUAAUACCGGAUAAUAUUUUGAACCGCAUGGUUCAAAAGUGAAAGACGGUCUUGCUGUCACUUAUAGAUGGAUCCGCGCUGCAUUAGCUAGUUGGUAAGGUAACGGCUUACCAAGGCAACGAUGCAUAGCCGACCUGAGAGGGUGAUCGGCCACACUGGAACUGAGACACGGUCCAGACUCCGACGGGAGGCAGAAGUAGGGAAUCUUCCGAAAUGGGCGAAAGCCUGACGGAGCAACGCCGCGUGAGUGAUGAAGGUCUUCGGAUCGUAAAACUCUGUUAUUAGGGAAGAACAUAUGUGUAAGUAACUGUGCACAUCUUGACGGUACCUAAUCAGAAAGCCACGGCUAACUACGUG